AGCGCUGGGUGGGAAAUCAAUUCCCGCUUUUUUUCGACGCCUACAGGCGUCUAGGAUGUUGUAGACAUCUUUUGUCGUCGAGAAGGUACGUGUAUUCAGUUUACCAAGGAUUUAAUAAGAGGCCAAAAGUAUCCAUCAUCCCAACUCCGAAGUGCUCCCCGCACCCUCGCAAUUCGCAAACUCUAUAAAAGUUUCACCAAAAUCAUUCUCUCUCUUGCCUCGCCGUUAUCUUGCUCUCAUGCCUCACAAUUGAGAACUGCUAAGAUGAAAAGCUCAAUGAAAAUCAUGAAAAGAUCUUAUUAUUAGUUUCUAGGGUUUUCUUGCGAUUAUUCAGAGAAUCAAUGUUUCUGUCAAUUGCAUUCCACAUUUCUGGAAAGGGCAUAUUAUAUCAGACAUGGAGAGCUAAAAUAGGAGAUGCGGAUAGACUACACGAGAGGAAAAAUUUGGCAGCUUUACAAUCAUAUUUGACAAAGAGUUGGUAACAAAUCAAAUUAAGGUGGAACGUAUUUAGUCACAUCCAAUUUCUAGUGGUUUUCAAGGGAUUUCAUUUCUAGGUGUACAACUUCUAUUUGGUCUUGGAAUUCUCCUUCAGCUGAAUGAUUACAGCCUUGAGGCUUGGGAACUUAACGAAGGAAUGGCUUAUUGGGUUUGGAUUUAUAACCAUCAGUGGUCUCGCUCUUAGCAGAUACAACGCACAUUUGGGAUGGCCAUAUUAUGCAUGCUUGACUGCUGCAUCUGGGCAGAUAGCAUGGCAGAUUUAUGCAACUGGCUUGUCAAAUCGUGCUGAUUGCAAUAGAAAGUUUGUUUCAAAUAAAUGGUUUGGUGCUCUCAUCUUUAGCGGUAUCCUGUUUGGAAGACUGUCCUCAUAGCUGUUAUUGUAGAGGUAAACUAACUUUUAAUUUAUAUUGUUAGAUUUGUAUUAGAAGAAUGCAUAACUGUGUAUUAUGGACAUAAGCUAAUGUUGUCUGGCAAUGAGCAAUACCAAAGGAGAAAAGGACAUAUCCAAGCUGGCUAGAGUUACAAAGGGUUAAACAAGGGUUUUGGAUCAUAGGUUUUGUGUUAAAGAUGAAUGACCGUGUGAUUCAAGUCUCGAGUAUCCUGGCUGCAUAUGGCUCCAUAACACAGAGAAGUUCUGGUAUACAGAUUAUUCAAGUAGGUCCAAAUCCGCAAAUAAUGAGAAAUUGCAUCAAUUCUUGAAAACGAGAGAAGCUUUAAUUACUUUAAAUUUCUCGUUGCUUCUAAUGUAAACAAUUUCAGAUGAAGUAUGCCUUGAUAGUAUACAGUAUUAUAAUGAUAUUGUAACUAUUUUUUGUUGUUACUA